GUUUAGGGUUUUUUUUUUUUUCUGGAGGACGGUUCUUUCAAGGAAAGUUAAUCUCUCUGGUGAUCUAAGACCGGAAGUUUGGCAUUCAAUUCUACGAAAACUGAAGGAGUUACAGCUAUGAAGAUACUUUAGUCGCAUUUUAAACCAAAAUCAAGGUUCUAGGAGACUACAUUUUUCUCGACACUUCACUCUAUGACCAGAGUUUAAAUUGAUAAAAGGUAGAAUUCUGAAACCUGUUUUGAAUCUUAAACGAGUAUUCGGUGGAAAUGAGGACAUUACUGCAUGGAAAUACUAGUGCGUUGGAUGCAGUUAGCUAUUUUAAGAACCAUUGGAUAACCGAGGGAAUGAAAUGCAGCUCAAAGCUGCACGGAUCAACUGUGCGUUUGGAUUGAAAGUCAACAAUUUCAAGCUAUUGGAUAUCUUUGAGAUAACAAGGUAAAUUUUUUUUAUAGA